GAGAGGAGAAGAAGAGAGACUGCACCUGGAGCCUGGAGGACAUCUGCCUGGAGGAUCAACUGUGCUGGACAUCCUGAGAGGACACCUGGUUGUUUAUCGUUGGUGGACCUCUUCUGGACUGGACUGCACUUGGUGGACAUCGGCCUGCAGAUCUCUGCGUGGAGGAUCAACAUUGCUGGACAUCUGCACUGGUGGACUGCAUCGUGGAGGAGAGGAGGACCAGCUGCAAGACCGCCUGAACAUCGCUGGACUGCAGGACUGGUGUUACUGUGAGCGAGUCCGGGUUCACAUUUGGGUGGCCUUGGGGGUGGGUUCUUGCUAGCUUGGGAGGGGGGAGGCUCAUCUUCAAAACACCACAUCCACACCCCACACCGACAUACCACAGAUACAUCGGUCCCGCUAAAUAGUGUCUCUUAGGUAGGUAGGCCAGUUGGUAGGUGAUCAGUGGAUAAUUGCCCUCAACAUAAUUAUUAGGGAAACCGAGCCUAGUUUUUUUUAAAAAACUAAAUAGGGACUCAGCAGGGAAAGCAUUAGUGAGUGAGUGUUAGGUUUGAAUUCCAUAUAUAUAUAUAUAUAUAUAAAAAUUUGUAAUAGCUGUCAAUAGGCUUCCCAUUAGUGCCCCCAUAACUAGGGUUCCACCGCCCAUCUCUGGCACCCGUGGUGGUGCCAGGCCGGCCCGGGCAUACUAGUGUGUGAGUGUUUAAGGCUUUGUCACCUGUUAUUGGGGUUUAGGGCCAGCUCAAUUCCAGAGGAAUUCAGCUGAUUGGCAGGCUCAGGUUCCCUGACAUAAAUAGGGUUGCUUAAAAAGGCACUUGAUUGUUCAUCUCCAAGUCACAGAGCCACUAGAAGCACAGAUUUAGAGCAGGUUAGUUAGGUCUUGAAAACAAAGUUGACCUUUGUUUUCUAAAUCUUUUCUGAUUAGUUAGGGUUGAAUUUGGGAGGGGAAAGUAUGUCGGAGAGGAAAGCAGAGAGGGGC